rnacentral:lncRNA from 1 species
ACGGCUUUGAUGAAGGAGUAGGUCACCGGCCCCCUUUAUCUGUUCUUAGUUGGCCUGGUGAAAUGGAUGCUUAAAAUGCAGUCAGUCAGCUGGGCAGAGAUAACACACACCUUUGAUCCCAGCAGUUGGGAGGCAGAGGCAGGCGGAUCUCAGUGAGUUCUAGGACAGCCUGGUCUACAAAGCAAGUUCCAGGACAGCCUGGGCUGUUACACAGAGAAACCCUGUCUCAAAAAAAAAAAAAAAAAAAAAAAAAAGGAAGAAAAAAGAUGCUGUCACUCAGCCUCAGGAAGGAAGAGAUUAUGCAAUUGACUGAAACUCAAAAGAAAAGCAGCUUUUUAAAGAAAACCCAAAAAGAGAAGCAGGAGAAACCAUGGCAAGUGUACUGGCAGCCUCAGAACACAGGCCUGGCACCUGUCAGCCUUGAGCGGCACCUGGGCAAGGACCCCCAACUCCUAGCAGAACAGGGGAUGGAACAUGGACCACCAGACUCAACAAAUCCAUGUGGAGUUUAUUGGAGGUGUUGGCUAACUAGGAACAGAGACGGAAGGGGUGGGCACGAAGGGGGAAGAAGAAGAAGAGGAGGAGGAGGAAGGGGCGAACAGGUGGAGUGCUCACCUGUGUACAGACUCCUUACACA